rnacentral:rRNA from 1 species
CUUUUAUGAGCUUAGCUGCAAACGGGUGAGUAACACGUAGACAACCUGCCGACAGGAUGGGGACAACAUUCCGAAAGGAAUGCUAAUACCGAAUGAAGCGGAGGAGAGCAUCUCUCCUCCGUGAAAGAUGGCCUCUAUUUAUAAGCUAUCACCUGUCGAUGGGUCUGCGUCUGAUUAGCUAGUUGGUGAGGUAACGGCUCACCAAGGCGACGAUCAGUAGCCGGUCUGAGAGGAUGAACGGCCACAUUGGGACUGAGACACGGCCCAGACUCCUACGGGAGGCAGCAGUGGGGAAUCUUCCGCAAUGGGCGCAAGCCUGACGGAGCAACGCCGCGUGAGUGAAGAAGGUCUUCGGAUCGUAAAGCUCUGUUGAUGGGGACGAACGUGCGAAGGGUGAAUAAUCCUUUGCAAUGACGGUACCUAUCGA